rnacentral:rRNA from 1 species
UACGAAGGGGGCUAGCGUUGUUCGGAAUCACUGGGCGUAAAGCGCACGUAGGCGGAUCUUUAAGUCAGGGGUGAAAUCCCGAGGCUCAACCUCGGAACUGCCUUUGAUACUGGGGAUCUCGAGUCCGGGAGAGGUGAGUGGAACUGCGAGUGUAGAGGUGAAAUUCGUAGAUAUUCGCAAGAACACCAGUGGCGAAGGCGGCUCACUGGCCCGGUACUGACGCUGAGGUGCGAAAGCGUGGGGAGCAAACAGGGAU